rnacentral:rRNA from 1 species
AGAAUCAACGCUGGCGGCGUGCCUAACACAUGCAAGUCGAACGAGAAAGUGGAGCAAUCCAUGAGUAAAGUGGCGCACGGGUGAGUAACACGUGACUAACCUACCCUUGAGUGGGGGAUAACCUAGGGAAACCUGGGCUAAUACCGCAUAAUACCGAGAGGUCAAAGGAGCAAUUCGCUUAAGGAGGGGUCGCGGCAGAUUAGUUAGUUGGCAGGGUAAUGGCCUACCAAGACGGUGAUCUGUA